CCUACGGGAGGCAGCAGUGAGGAAUAUUGGUCAAUGGGCGAAAGUCUGAACCAGCCAUGCCGCGUGCAUGAAGACGGCUCUAUGAGUUGUAAACUGCUUUUGUACAAGGGUAAACCUGAAUACGUGUAUUCAGCUGAACGUACUGUACGAAUACGGCACGGCUAACUACGUGCCAGCAGCCGCGGUAAUACGGAGGAUCCAAGCGUUAUCCGGAUGUAUUGGGUUUAAAGGGUGCGUAGGCGUAUGUAUAAGUUAGAGGUGAAAUGUCCGAGCUUAACUCGGGAACUGCCUCUAAUACUGUUGAUCUAGAGAGUAGAUGCGGUAGGCGGAAUGUAUGGUGUAGCGGUGAAAUGCUUAGAGAUCAUACAGAACACCGAUUGCGAAGGCAGCUUACCAAUCUAUAUCUGACGUUGAGGCACGAAAGCGUGGGGAGCAAACAGGAUUAGAUACCCUUGUAGUC
rnacentral:rRNA from 1 species